rnacentral:rRNA from 1 species
GGAUAACUUACCCUUUAGGACUGGGAUAACUCUGGGAAACUGGGGAUAAUACUGGAUAUUAGGCUAUGCCUGGAAUGGUUUGCCUUUGAAAUGUUUUUUUUCGCCUAAGGAUAGGUCUGCGGCUGAUUAGGUCGUUGGUGGGGUAAUGGCCCACCAAGCCGAUGAUCGGUACGGGUUGUGAGAGCAAGGGCCCGGAGAUGGAACCUGAGACAAGGUUCCAGACCCUACGGGGUGCAGCAGGCGCGAAACCUCCGCAAUGUACGAAAGUGCGACGGGGGGAUCCCAAGUGUUAUGCUUUUUUGUAUGACUUUUCAUUAGUGUAAAAAGCUUUUAGAAUAAGAGCUGGGCAAGACCGGUGCCAGCCGCCGCGGUAACACCGGCAGCUCGAGUGGUAGCUGUUUUUAUUGGGCCUAAAGCGUUCGUAGCCGGUUUGAUAAGUCUUUGGUGAAAGCUUGUAGCUUAACUAUAAGAAUUGCUGGAGAUACUAUUAGACUUGAAGUCGGGAGAGGUUAGAGGUACUACCGGGGUAGGGGUGAAAUCCUAUAAUCCUGGGAGGACCACCUGUGGCGAAGGCGUCUAACUGGAACGAUCUUGACGGUGAGUAACGAAAGCCAGGGGCGCGAACCGGAUUAGAUACCCGGGUAGUCCUGGCCGUAAACGAUGUGGACUUGGUGUUGGAAUGGCUUUGAGUUGUUCCGGUGCCGAAGGGAAGCUGUUAAGUCCACCGCCUGGGAAGUACGGUCGCAAGACUGAAACUUAA